rnacentral:pre_miRNA from 12 species
AAUCUAGUGGAAACACUUCUGCACAAACUAGAUUGUGGACACAGUGUGCGGAAAUGCUUCUGCUACAUU